rnacentral:rRNA from 1 species
CGGAUCGGAGUCUGCAACCCGACUCCGUGAAGCUGGAUUCGCUAGUAAUCGCGCAUCAGCCAUGGCGCGGUGAAUACGUUCCCGGGCCUUGUACACACCGCCCGUCAAGCCAUGGGAGCCGGGGGUGCUUGAAGUGCGUCGCCGCAAGGCGCGCCCUAGAGCAAAACCCGGUGACUGGGGCUAAGUCGUAACAAGGUAUC